AGUGAACGCUGGCGGUAGGCCUAACACAUGCAAGUCGAACGGCAGCACAGUAAGAGCUUGCUCUUACGGGUGGCGAGUGGCGGACGGGUGAGGAAUACAUCGGAAUCUACUUUUUCGUGGGGGAUAACGUAGGGAAACUUACGCUAAUACCGCAUACGACCUACGGGUGAAAGCAGGGGAUCUUCGGACCUUGCGCGAUUGAAUGAGCCGAUGUCGGAUUAGCUAGUUGGCGGGGUAAAGGCCCACCAAGGCGACGAUCCGUAGCUGGUCUGAGAGGAUGAUCAGCAACACUGGAACUGAGAGACGGUCCAGACUCCUACGGGAGGCAGCAGUGGGGAAUAUUGGACAAUGGGCGCAAGCCUGAUCCAGCCAUACCGCGUGGGUGAAGAAGGCCUUCGGGUUGUAAAGCCCUGUUGUGGGGAAAGAAAAGCAGCAGGUUAAUACCCCGCUGUUCUGACGGUACCCAAAGAAUAAGCACCGGCUAACUUCGUG
rnacentral:rRNA from 1 species